rnacentral:pre_miRNA from 1 species
UUGAUUGGGGGUCUGAUCCAAACCUCACUGAAGUCAAUGGAAGUCUUUCCAUUGACUUCAGGAGCUUUGGAUCAAGUCCUAGGGGA